ensembl:lncRNA
GUGUGUGUGUGUGUGUGUGUGUGUGUGUGUGUGGACCUUUACUCUUAAGGCAGCUUUAGUUAACCGAAGCAUUGAGCGCUGCACAUGUUGUCUUGUGAUCUGCUGUUAGACCAGAGACCCAUAUCAUCAUCGACACACACACUCACACACACACACACACACACACACACACACACACACACACUCACGUGUCUCUGGUCCAACAGCAGAGAUGAGUUCUGAUCCUGGUGUGAGCCAUAGUCUAAACUGUCUACCUCACCAAAAACAAAGUCAGAUGAUUGACAAGGACCCUCUCUCUCUCUCUCUCUCUCACAGACACUCUCUCUCUCUCACACACACACACACACACACACCCUAACCCACAUCCUCCUCUGCUUAUCAGAGUGGUGUGUGUGUGUGGCUGUUUGUUUUCUCUGGUUUUGGUCUUGUAUGAGGAAGCAGAAGUCUCACACACACACACAAACUUCCCUGUGUGUGUGUGUGUGUGUGUGUGUUAGAGAGGAGGCCCCUUAGACAGCUCAGUGCCUUGGUCUUUAGUCGCUACACCCCAGCAUUCUCUCGGCCCCACAGCAGGCCCCAGCACCCCUGUGUGUGUGAGAGAGAUCAGGCCCCAGCACCCCUGUGUGUGUGAGAGAGAUCAGGGCCCAGCACCCCUGUGUGUGUGUGAGAGAGAUGUAUGCCUUAUUUCAGCACACAAUACACACCAACAUGGUCUGUGUGUGUGUGUGAGUGUGUUAUUGUAUUUAUCACUUUUCACAGAUGUGAACAGCUUUUAGCCAUGUAUACGUAGCAUAUAUUUUAUGUUCUUGUUUGUGUGAUUUUAUUGUACCUGUUUUGGAAGUAUAUUGUAAUUUAUUGUAAUUCUAUAAUAUAAUAUCCUGGGGAAAUGUGUCCAAAUGCCGUCUGUGUCUAUUGUGUGCGUGUGUGUGUGUCUAAUGUGUCUAUUGUCUUUGCACUACCUGGGCUGAGGAGGUCUGUAGCAUGAACAUCAGAGACCCUGGCUUACUGAGAGAAAUCAGAGACUGUGUGUGCGUGUGUGUGUGCUAUGGGUGUGUGCGG